rnacentral:rRNA from 1 species
ACGGAAGGCAGCAGUAGGGAAUCUUCGGCAAUGGGGGCAACCCUGACCGGGCAACGCCGCGUGAGUGAAGAAGGUUUUCGGAUCGUAAAGCUCUGUUGUAAGAGAAGAACGUGUGUGAGAGUGGAAAGUUCACACAGUGACGGUACUUACCAGAAAGGGACGGCUAACUACGUGCCUGCAGCCGCGGUAAUACGUAGGUCCCGAGCGUUGUCCGGAUUUAUUGGGCGUAAAGCGAGCGCAGGCGGUUUAAUAAGUCUGAAGUUAAAGGCAGUGGCUUAACCAUUGUUCGCUUUGGAAACUGUUAGACUUGAGUGCAGAAGGGGAGGGUGGAAUUCCAUGUGUAGCGGUGAAAUGCGUAGAUAUAUGGAGGAACACCGGUGGCGAAAGCGGCUCUCUGGUCUGUAACUGACGCUGAGGCUCGAAAGCGUGGGGAGCAAACAGGAUUAGAUACCCUGGUA